rfam:Glycine soja cultivar W05 scaffold1746_7, whole genome shotgun sequence.
UGCAAUCUGUGAUGAAUUUUCCCAAAUAUUCUGAUUAAUCUGUGAUUAUUAUACUAAAAUCACCAUCUUUCGGCUGAGAUUGCA